rnacentral:rRNA from 1 species
AUUGAACGCUAGCGGGAUGCCUUACACAUGCAAGUCGAACGGCGUGGCGAACGGGUGAGUAAUGUAUCGGAACGUGCCCAGUAGCGGGGGAUAACUACGCGAAAGCGUAGCUAAUACCGCAUACUUUUGGAGCGGCCGCGGUCGGAUUAGCUAGUUGGUGGGGUAACGGCUCACCAAGGCGACGAUCCGUAGCUGGUUUGAGAGGACGACCAGCCACACUGGGACUGAGACACGGCCCAGACUCCUACGGGAGGCAGCAGUGGGGAAUGUUGGGCAAUGGGCGAAACCCUGAUCCAGCCAUCCCGCGUGAGCGAUGAAGGCCUUCGGGUUGUAAAGCACUGUUGGCAGGGAAGCGGUACCUGCAGAAUAAGCACCGGCUAACUACGUGCCAGCAGCCGCGGUAAUUC